GCAUACAUAAGUACAAAUCGCGGACGCAUGUAUGUUUUAACCUAUACGUCAAGCUCAUUGCUGUCAAGAGAGAAUUCAUUCGACGAGCGUGUUUUCCGUGAAAGAUAAUUUUUUAAAGUGCCAAACAAGUCGUUAGUCUUUCAGAAAAAUUAAAUAUUUUUGCAGAUUCAAUUAAGACAUUUAUGUCGAUUUGCAUGUGUUUACAACCCCAGAAUAUUUUUAUAAUGGGUAAAUGUAAACAACGUAUUGUGGGGUCAAUUACCAUUGCCAAAGUGCCGCGGAGUCCAAUUAAAGUAGAGUCCAAUUAAAGUAGAUGUUGUUCAGUGGAUGAUGUUGCAAAAUCGGUCUUUGACGUAAAAAAAAGAAAUAUAUGACAUUCAGAGCUGCUCACAAUGCAUUUUGGGUGCCUAUAUAAAGAUUCAAAGGAAGAAAACAAACAUUUGAAGAUACCAUUCAAGUUGUUCCGUGAAAACAUAUAAAAAUCUAAAGUCGAAAGAAAAAAAGACAUGAAAUUGUUUACAUUUACCCAC